CGGAUGCGGAUCUCGAAAGCCUGUCCCAGUUCGGACUGGAGUCUGCAACCCGACUCCACGAAGUUGGAUUCGCUAGUAAUCGCGCAUCAGCCAUGGCGCGGUGAAUACGUUCCCGGGCCUUGUACACACCGCCCGUCAAGCCAUGGGAGCCGGGGGCGCCUGAAGUCCGGGACCGCGAGGACCGGCCUAGGGCGAAACUGGUAACUGGGGCUAAGUCGUAACAAGGUAAC
rnacentral:rRNA from 1 species